rnacentral:rRNA from 1 species
UACGGAGGGUGCAAGCGUUAUCCGGAUUUACUGGGCUUAAAGGGUGCGUAGGCGGGCAGGUAAGUCAGUGGUGAAAUCUUUGGGCUUAACCCGAAAACUGCCAUUGAUACUAUCUGUCUUGAAUAUUGUGGAGGUUUGCGGAAUAUGUCAUGUAGCGGUGAAAUGCUUAGAUAUGACAUAGAACACCUAUUGCGAAGGCAGCAAACUACGCAUAUAUUGACGCUGAGGCACGAAAGCGUGGGGAUCAAACAGG